rnacentral:rRNA from 1 species
GAGAGCAAGCGGACCUCAUAAAGUGCGUCGUAGUCCGGAUUGGAGUCUGCAACUCGACUCCAUGAAGUCGGAAUCGCUAGUAAUCGUGGAUCAGAAUGCCACGGUGAAUACGUUCCCGGGCCUUGUACACACCGCCCGUCACACCAUGGGAGUGGGUUGCAAAAGAAGUAGGUAGCUUAACCUUCGGGAGGGCGCUUACCACUUUGUGAUUCAUGACUGGGGUGAAGUCGUAACAAGGUAACCGUAGGGGAACCUGCGGUUGGAUCACCUCCUU